rnacentral:rRNA from 1 species
ACUCUGAUCCAGCCAUGCCGCGUGUAGGAAGACUGCCCUAUGGGUUGUAAACUACUUUUAUAUGGGAAGAAUAAGGUCUACGUGUAGAUCGAUGACGGUACCAUAAGAAUAAGCACCGGCUAACUCCGUGCCAGCAGCCGCGGUAAUACGGAGGGUGCAAGCGUUAUCCGGAAUCAUUGGGUUUAAAGGGUCCGUAGGCGGGCAUAUAAGUCAGUGGUGAAAGUCUGUGGCUUAACCAUAGAAUUGCCAUUGAUACUGUAUGUCUUGAAUUAUUGUGAAGUGGUUAGAAUAUGUAGUGUAGCGGUGAAAUGCUUAGAGAUUACAUAGAAUACCGAUUGCGAAGGCAGAUCACUAACAAUAUAUUGACGCUGAUGGACGAAAGCGUAGGUAGCGAACAGGAUUAGAUACCCUGGUAGUCUACGCCGUAAACGAUGGAUACUAGUUGUUUGGUUUUCGGACUGAGUGACUAAGCGAAAGUGAUAAGUAUCCCACCUGGGGAGUACGUUCGCAAGAAUGAAACUCAAAUGAAUUGACGGA